rnacentral:rRNA from 1 species
UGGGGAAUUUUGGACAAUGGGCGAAAGCCUGAUCCAGCAAUGCCGCGUGUGUGAAGAAGGCCUUCGGGUUGUAAAGCACUUUUUGUCCGGAAAGAAAUCCUUGGCUCUAAUACAGUCGGGGGAUGACGGUACCGGAAGAAUAAGCACCGGCUAACUACGUGCCAGCAGCCGCGGUAAUACGUAGGGUGCAAGCGUUAAUCGGAAUUACUGGGCGUAAAGCGUGCGCAGGCGGUUUGCUAAGACCGAUGUGAAAUCCCCGGGCUAACCUGGGAACUGCAUUGGUGACUGGCAGGCUAGAGUAUGGCAGAGGGGGGUAGAAUUCCACGUGUAGCAGUGAAAUGCGUAGAGAUGUGGAGGAAUACCGAUGGCGAAGGCAGCCCCCUGGGCCAAUACUGACGCUCAUGCACGAAAGCGUGGGGAGCAAACAGGAUUAGAUACCCUGGUAGUCCACGCCCUAAACGAUGUCAACUAGUUGUUGGGGAUUCAUUUCCUUAGUAACGUAGCUAACGCGUGAAGUUGACCGCCUGGGGAGUACGGUCGCAAGAUUAAAACUCAAAUGAAUUGACGGGG